AGUCGGCCAACAGCAUAACGAGAAACUGUGCGUCCCGUUGGAAGACCAAAAGAUUGCCGAAGUAUCUCCGUCAAAGGGACAUCUAGUGGACUGUGGCAUUCAGUGCCGCCUCCAAUUACAGGAUUGUAAUUGCAAGAAGGCGGAAAACGACGUGGAAGCCGGCAGAAGGGAUCGUUUAAACUGUGCAGAUAAGAAGGCAAUCAAUUGCCAGGCCGACUGCUUCAACAAGGGACAAUACAGGAAAAAACAGAAGAAAAAUCAAUGGAGGAACAGAGGGCCAGAAAAGCAAGGCAGCCAACAGGAAGCCUACAACUGAUACUAUGAAGAAACGCCAAGGUGGAAAUGGAAGGCACACAUUGCACUGACUGCAAGCUACAAGAAAUCUCUGGUUUUUAAUGAUUUGCUUAAAUGUUUUAAAUGUAUUUAAAUUAAAUGUAAUUCUAUUUAAUAAAUGGUUUAAAUAUUA